GCAGUGCGCCGGCUGGGGCACUGCCCCCUCAGGCAAUGCCCCGCCGUUGCCUCGGGCUGCCACCGCCGGUCGAGGAGGCCCUCUUCUCUCGUUUUUCAUGCCGAACAUCUUUUUUUCCUCUUCACCAGAUUUUGCCACUUGGCGCAAAUUCAACGGUUUAAAAAUUCUAUAAAUAUGCUUUCCCACCCCAUUCUUUUCCACACUUCCAUUCUUCU
rnacentral:lncRNA from 1 species